AACGCGAAGAACCUUACCUGGGCUUGAACCGCACAGGACCAGCUUGAGAAAUCAGGCCUUCCCGCAAGGGACCUGUGUAGAGGUGCUGCAUGGCUGUCGUCAGCUCGUGCCGUGAGGUGUUGGGUUAAGUCCCGCAACGAGCGCAACCCUUACUCAUAGUUGCUACCCGCAAGGGAGAACUCUAUGAGGACUGCUCCGGAUAACGGAGAGGAAGGUGGGGAUGAGGUCAAGUCAGCAUGGCCUUUAUGUCCAGGGCUACACACGUGUUACAAUGCGCGCCACAAAGCGUUGCAAACCCGCGAGGGGGAGCUAAUCGCAAAAAAGCGCGCUCAGUCCGGAUUGCAGUCUGCAACUCGACUGCAUGAAGCUGGAAUCGCUAGUAAUGGCGCAUCAGAACGGCGCCGUGAAUACGUUCCCGGGCCUUGUA
rnacentral:rRNA from 1 species